UGACUAUUCUGGGGAGUUUACAUAAGUGCCUGGAAACAACAUUUGCUGCUGGGGAGGAGAACCAAGAAUCUGGGGUUUGUACUAAUCCAAAUCAGAUUAAAUUGAUUCAGCUGACUUCCUACCUAUAUGUGACACAUGGACUAACCUUCUGGAGAGAUUCCCAUCAGCCCUGGGAACAAAUGCUCUACUGUGGCCUAAGCAUGGGAAAGGAGGAUGAAGACAGAUGGAGGAGAGUAUUAUAUUGUCACACACAUUACAAUGCUUUUUAAAAAAUCAGUAGACUCUCAAAAGCUCGAAGCCUGAUUCCACCGUUGACAUCCACCAAAGAACCUGUAAUUGUGCCUGUAGAACAGUGAAGUUCAAAACCCCAAAGGGCCUGGCCCCAUCUGAAGGCAGCCUUUCUGCCUCCCUCCCAGUGGGUAGCUUGUGGGAUCUUAGUUCCCGGACCAGGGAUUGAACCCAGGCCCCCUGCCGUGGAAGCAUGGAGUCCUAACCACCACGCCGCCACGGAAUUCCCUGACAGAUGGCUUCUGA